UCUUAAGACUUAGCAACUAUUUUUUUUAAAUAUUUCAAAACAUUAAACUAAAUUAAAUACACUUUUUCAGCUGAUAUUCUAAAGAUAAAAAAUUACUCAAAUUAUAUUAAACAAGAUUUGACAUCAUUUAUUGAUAAUGAGAGCUCCAGAAACAACAACCAACGGCCAGAAAAACUACAAUUAGAAAAAAAUAUUUUAUCAUCAUUCCCUUUGAAUAAUGAAAAUUAACUUUUGUCUAUGGAGAACAACUUAUUAUCUGAAGACUUAGAUUAUACUAACAAACUGGUUACAGCGUUCAUAUAUUUUGCAUUUGAAGGAAAAACAAUCACAAAAGUAACAAACAGUAUAUUAAGAACAGUGAUUUCUGAUGAUUUAGCUAAAGAGUACAGCUGGAAGGUCAGAAGAAUAAGAAUGCGUUCUAAGAUUUAACCAUCAGUAAGAUAAUAAUAGAUGCUGUGCUCAAGAAAUUCCCAAACAUACAAGAUUGUAAACAGGAAAUAAAACGCAGCAUAAUGACAUGGCUGGCGCAAGCACCUACCCGCAUUAUAAG